rnacentral:lncRNA from 1 species
CAGGAAGCUUAAAGAUGCUUUGCUUGCUAAAGUGGAAGGCUGAAAGGAGCAGAACCAGAAGAGUGCUGGAGAGAUGGAUGUGGGUGGCGUUUGUUUUAUGUACUUACAAAAGAAGAGCUGCAAGUAGCAUAUGAAUCUCCGGUUCAAUUAGACAAACUUGUAGAGAAGAAAAAGAACUUCCUCAAGAAACUGACCACCACCCUGGAGUGGUUAAGAAUUGACCACUCAACAACGCUGG